rnacentral:lncRNA from 1 species
UCGUUUCUCUCGACUGCUCUCAAGACUCUGACUGGCUUAAGCAUCAGAGGGUCCCCCACUAAAAUACCUCUGGCGCAUGUGAAUUUCCUUUAUAGAUAUCCUCUGGCAUAGCGGAUCUCGAGCGAUAUCCAGCUCCAACCACAUUAGCACCUUUUCGAAGUUUUAUGACAACAGAUUGAUGUACUAAAAGAAGGGCUAGGCUCCUUUG